rnacentral:misc_RNA from 1 species
AAGUCGUAACAAGGUUUUCGUAGGUGAACCUGCGGAAGGAUCAUUAGUGAACUUUGACAACAAAGUCUGGGAGUCUUCUCGCCUUUGCAAAAGGGCGGUUGACCCUUUCUUUUCGUUCAAUCCACUACCAUACACACUGUGCACAUGUCCCUUUUCAUAACCAAGAUUUUUACGCUUGUGUUCAUUAAAAAAUGUCCAGAAUGUAAAACCUUUGAUAAAAAGAAAGUAUAACUUUCAGCAAUGGAUCUCUUGGCUCUC